UACGUAGGGGGCAUGCGUUGUCCGGAAUCAUUGGGCGUAAAGCGCGCGUAGGCGGCUCGAUCAGUCUGCUGUGAAAGUCAAAGGCUCAACCUUUGAAUGCCGGUGGAUACUGUCGAGCUAGAGUCCGGAAGAGGCGAGUGGAAUUCCUGGUGUAGCGGUGAAAUGCGCAGAUAUCAGGAGGAACACCAAUGGCGAAGGCAGCUCGCUGGGACGUGACUGACGCUGAGACGCGAAAGCGUGGGGAGCAAACAGG
rnacentral:rRNA from 1 species